UACAACAAUAUGAACAUAUUUUGAGGCACAGGAAAUACAAUUUCUUUUGGAAGAAAAAAUGAGUGAGUAGCUUAAAGUUUAGGAUCCAUUCAAAAAGCAGAGGUGAAACAAAGAGGUGCAUGGAAAACUGGAUCACACCAGUAUUUUCAAUUUAGAGAGUUUUGUUUUAUUUUCUUCUUGGGUAAUGUUGAUCUUUUAAUUUUUACCAGAAAUUACAGUAGGCCUAACAAGUAUCAUUAAGUUCAAUAGAUCUAAGACAAUCUCUGAUUUUACUAGAUUUAACUUUAGAUCUGAUCUACAGUGAUUAAUAAUCAUUUUGUUAUGAAAUUAUACCAAGGUGGUGCACAAUGUUGAUAACUAAACUGGAUCCAAAAGAAACUGAUCAAACUUUCCAAGGACCCUGUACAAAUUCCACUCAGUCAAAAUAAACAAUAUAUUUACAUACAUGUAGGCUAGCUUCAAUAAUUUUUACUAAGCACAUGUCAAUAAAUGAGAUUGAUUCAAACACAGAGAGGCUAUUGCCCCUCACAUCAAUUAGUGGUUUCAAAUCUAAAGUCACAAAUGGCAAAAGAAAGACCAAUGAAAAUAGAGAUGGGAUUAAACAAUAUUCAAAGUUUAUUACACAUGUCUUUCAUGGGCAUGUUUUAGCAAUUAUCUCAAUCACAAAGAGGCAAAAAGAAAUCAACAUCAAACUUUCAAAAUGACUGGAACAAUCGCACAGCCACACAAAAAUCCCACGGGAAUCUGAACACACUGUUAAUGACACAUGUAUGCUUAGUAGAGAUUGAGGUAGGAUUAAGGUACGAUAAUAUGCCAGUGGCAGAUUGUACCAGACUGGAAGAAGCUAGCCCGUGUAAAAUAUUGUUCAUUUUGAUCGAGUGGAAUUUGAGCGGUAAUGCAGAUUCGCCCUGGCUGACUUGGAGCAAAUUUCCCCACCAGAAUUAUUUCGCAAAUGUAAUAGCAAGUCUCUCAGUCAAUAAUCAAUAUGCCAACCACUUUUCCGAAUAUCGCAAUUGGAAACGGCUUUAUUUGGCUCCGAUCUCGAUGUCAUCGUUCAAAUUCUCAGUCAGCCAUCGCUUUGCUUUGCCAUAAUUUGGAUAUUGAUUAAAGUUAGCUACCAAAACAUCUGCUUGCAGCAGCUCACCCAUCUGUUCACUGCAUGUUUGCAUGAUUUUGGUCACUUUAAUCCAUAUAAGAGUUAUAAAUCAAAAUCAUAUAUUAAACUUAAGACCCAAAGCCAAGGCCCAAGCAAAGCGAUUUCUGAGAAUUUGAAUGUCGAAAUCGAAGCAAAAAUACAGCCGUUUCCGAUCAAGCUUCGGAAAAGCAGUGGGCAUAUUGACCUUGAAAUGUAACUGAGAGAUUUGCUAUGACAUUCACAAACAAUUACUGUAGUGGCCUAGUGGUGGGGAAAUUUGCAUAACUUUUGCAGUGAGCAAGUGUAUCCAGGUGACUUGCAAAAGCAUGUCGUCUUGUCAAGCGUUAAUAAGACACAGCACAAAAAUGAAUACAUGGGACAUACACACAGAUCUCAAUUCAGAU